AUUACAUGGUGAUAGAUAACCAAAAUCUGUGUGUGUGGGAAGAAGGAAAGUGGAAGACAGCAAGUCUGAAUGGCUUCUUUCCAAAGUCACCUCGUAUCAGAUACGGCAGACCCUUCAUUUCAAAAACUGCUUUAAAGAAGCUACUAGAGACGUGCUCCAUCACAGUCAGGGAGUCAAUCGAGAAAGGAAAACAUGAGGCACAGGAAGCAGGGGAAACAAUUCAAGAGAGAGCAAAGGAUGACAGAGAUGGAAGACCAGAGUACCUGUGGCUCACUCUGACUAGAGGAAUAAGCUUCCAGAAGAUUCGUACAACUGACCAAGCAUCUGAAGCUGAGCAAAGCAAUAAAGGGACAAUGA